GGCCUGAUAGCUCAGAGGAACGAGUGGCGCUUUCCGGUAGAUAUGUAUUAUCUAAUAAACUGGCUGGCGCAGGUCCCGGGUUCGACCCCCGGUCGGGUCU
rnacentral:tRNA from 1 species